AGAGUUUGAUCCUGGCUCAGGAUGAACGCUGACAGAAUGCUUAACACAUGCAAGUCUACUUGAACUUCGGUUUGGGUGGCGGACGGGUGAGUAACGCGUAAAGAACUUGCCUCACAGCUAGGGACAACAUUUGGAAACGAAUGCUAAUACCUGAUAUUAUGAUUUUAGGGCAUCCUAAGAUUAUGAAAGCUAUAUGCACUGUGAGAGAGCUUUGCGUCCCAUUAGCUAGUUGGAGAGGUAACGGCUCACCAAGGCGAUGAUGGGUAGCCGGCCUGAGAGGGUGAUCGGCCACAAGGGGACUGAGACACGGCCCUUACUCCUACGGGAGGCAGCAGUGGGGAAUAUUGGACAAUGGACCAAGAGUCUGAUCCAGCAAUUCUGUGUGCACGAUGAAGUUUUUCGGAAUGUAAAGUGCUUUCAGUUGGGAAGAAAAAAAUGACGGUACCAACAGAAGAAGUGACGGCUAAAUACGUGCCAGCAGCCGCGGUAAUACGUAUGUCACAAGCGUUAUCCGGAUUUAUUGGGCGUAAAGCGCGUCUAGGUGGUUAUGUAAGUCUGAUGUGAAAAUGCAGGGCUCAACUCUGUAUUGCGUUGGAAACUGUGUAACUAGAGUACUGGAGAGGUAAGCGGAACUACAAGUGUAGAGGUGAAAUUCGUAGAUAUUUGUAGGAAUGCCGAUGGGGAAGCCAGCUUACUGGACAGAUACUGACGCUAAAGCGCGAAAGCGUGGGUAGCAAACAGGAUUAGAUACCCUGGUAGUCCACGC
rnacentral:rRNA from 1 species